AAACUGUGGUUCCAUUCCUUCGUACUUUAUUAUUAGCAAGGGCUGUUUUUAUUUUCUUUUCACAAUUUUCUCCUCCUCUUGUACGGUCUCCAUCCAACACUCGAGGGCUCCCCUCCUUCAUUCUGGUGCUCCGUAGAGACUAGCCCUCUCUCGCACGAAUCCUUCUUCUGGCACACGUGGAGAAAAAUUGCAUCUGACACAGUAGCAGGGUCCAAGCGGUGAGAGGUCCAAUGGUGAAAAGUUCGGACCUUUCACUUGGAGUUUGAUUGACACAUCCUCGCUCUAACUCAUCAUCCAAGUGUCUGAACAAAGUCUACGGGCGUUGGGUAUACGGCUGAGUCCUACAACCGUACGGUCCAUCAGAGAAAGGCAGAAAAGCAUGGCUGCAGGGGCGAGGAGUCGAGUGAGGAAAAAAAGUAACCGAAGCGAAAAAUUGACCAAGAAGAUCGCCUUCGAAACUUCAAUAUACUGACGGUAUGUUUGUUUUCUGGUGGGCGGGUCCCAGGGGCCAAGAGCGCACGCGCGGGAUUCUCCGGGCCCAAGCUGCAAGUCACGAGCCAACAAUACUACAAAUAAUAACAAACCAGAGGCCUGUGAUGUUCGAAGAUGAAAAAAAAAACGGCUGAAAAACAGAGAGGCAUCUUCUUAACCGGCUUGUGGC